rnacentral:rRNA from 1 species
UUAAAACUUUUUAUAAUUUUAAUUAUUAUAUUAUUUUAUUUUAUUAAGUAAAAAAAAAUUUUAAAUAUUAAAAAUUUUAUUAACUGAAAAGGAUAAUAUUUUAUUAUUUUAAAAUAAUUUGUUAGUACCUUUUGUAUCAGGGUAAAUUAAAUUAGUUAAUUAUUUUUGUUUCCCGAAAAAAAUGAUAUUUAUUUUAUUUUUUUUUUAUUGUUAAAUAAAUAUUUAUAAAUUUAUUAUAGUAGUGAAAUUUUAUUCGUUCUUUUUUAUAUCUGGUUAUUUAGGAUUUCAAUUAAAUUGAUGAUUAAAUAUAUUUAUUUUAUUGUAAUUUAUUUAAUCUUAUAUAAUGUGGGAUAAUCUGUUUUAUUUUUUAAAAUUUAAAUUAAUAAAUUUUUAUUUUUUUUUAAAUUUUAAAUUAAGUUUAUAAUAAAUUUAUAUUAUUAUUUUAAAUUUUUUUUUAUUUAUAUUUUUACUAAAUUAAUUUAAUAAAUUUUUAUUUUUAUUAAAAAAUGAUUUAAUAAAUAUAAUUUUUAAUUUAAUUUUAAAUAACUCGACAAAUUUAAUUGUCAACUGUUUAUCAAAAACAUUUUUUUUAGUAAAAUUUUAAAAGUAUAUUCUGCCCUAUGAUUAAUUUUAAAUGGCUGCAGUAUUUUGACUGUGCAAAGGUAGCAUAAUCAUUAGUCAUUUAAUUGUUGACUAGAAUGAAUGGAUAAAUGAGCAAUUAAUUUUUUUAAAUUUAUUUUUAAAAUUUUAUUUUUAAGUUAAAAAGCUUAAUUAUUUUUUAGGGACGAUAAGACCCUAUAGAACUUUAUUAUAAAAUUAAUUUAAAAAUUUUUGGUUUAAAAUUUAUUUAUUUUUAUUUAUUUUUUUGUUGGGGUGAUGAAUAAAUUUAAACUUUAUUUUUUUAAUUCAUUUAUUUAUGAUUUUUUUGAUCCAUAUUUUAGAUAAAAAGAAAUAGUUACCUUAGGGAUAACAGCGUAAUUUUAAUGGAAAGUUCAUAUUUAUAUUAAAGUUUGCGACCUCGAUGUUGAAUUAAGGUAAAUUUGAGGGGUAGUUUUUUCAUUUUUAAGUCUGUUCGACUUUUAAAUUCUUACAUGAUUUGAGUUCAAACCGGUGUGAGCCAGGUUGGUUUCUAUCUUAAGAUAUUUUAAUUUAAUUAGUACGAAAGGACCAUUAAAUUCAAUAUUUUUUUGUUUAAUUAUGAAUUUUAGU